AUUCGAAAAGGUAAACCCAUCGCGAGGUGGGGGCGCAAAGUCAUGGGUCUAUAGAACUAGAUCGCCAGACUGCCGAAG
rnacentral:ncRNA from 1 species